CAAUAAAGAUAUUCGAGAGUCUAUGGAGAGUGAAAGGCUGUCUCUAGAAACAGAAAAAGACGACUUGAUAAAACGUGUGAAAGAUUACGAAGAUAAAUAUGCAAAGUUAGAAGAGCAAUAUGAUGUGCUACUGAAGGAAUAUGAAGAUUCAAAAAGACCGCCACCACCUCCACCACCCCCGCCACCACCCCCGAUUACUGCCACUAAAGGAUUUUUAUCAAAAAUUAUAAGAAAAAAGAAACCGGAUAAAGAUAGAUUAAAGUUAGCAGGGGCUAAUGUGAACACUGACUUUAAUAAAGCCUUAGAUGAGAUGAUGGAGAAUAUCAAGAGAGGAAAAACAUUGAAACGUGCACUGAAACCAAUUAAAAGGGAGACACAAGAACCUUUGGGUAGUGGAGAAGAAGGGUCUGGAGAUUAUAGAAUGGUCUUAAAAUCUAAAAGUUUUGAUGAUCAUGCUAAAGAAGAGGAUGUUCCAAAGUCUCCUGGAUCCCCCGGGGAUAAUAAUGCUAUGAAUGAGUUACAUAAUAUUAUGAACAAGAUGAAGAGGACACAUAGUGAGAGCGAAUUGUUGUCACCUGUAGAGGCGGAACACGGAGAAACUGAAUUAGCUCGAGCGUUCAGACGUGUGAAGAAAUCACAUUCUCUAGAUCCUGUUCCCGAUGUACAGAGACGUAACAAGCUGUCAUUGGUAGCAGAAGAAAGAGAGUCUGAAGUUAUUUUACGACGAAAAAAAUGGAAUCAUUAAAACAGAGGUGAUCAGUCUACCUGCCAAGCUUCAUUAAAGCGCUCUAAAAGUGCUGAAGAUGAAGUGUUUAAGAAUACGUGAUCUGGACACUGGAUCAUUUAUACUCGGGCAAACGAUGACGACGUGUGCAAUGUACUUCGCUUCCACUUGUUCAUCGCAAAUGUACGACGGUGAAAUUUUCUGCCAGAGUGGUGCUGCCAUUCAUUGUCCUGCUUCUUAUAUAUAUUUAUUGAAUGUUGUUGUUGUUGUUGUUGCUGUUGUUGUUGUUUUCAUAGUUGUAACAAAUGUAAGAAAAUAUUGUCUACAGUUGUAGUGAAAUUUUGAGAGAGGAGCAUUGUAGGAGGAAAGUUUAAAGCUUAAAUUGUAUGCCAUCAAAUUAUUACUAUUAUUGUGUUAUAAUUCUGUAAAAAAUAAUUGUUGGGGAUAAGUUUAUAUGCUGUGAAUUACAUUAUAGAAUUAUGUUUGAAAAAUUAUUAUAAAAAAUAUAUUUUAAAGAUUUCUUUGUAAUUUAGAAUAACUUUACAAAUAAAGGAAAUUUAUUAGUUUCAGUCCCCAAAAUUAUUAUUAUAAUUGUGAUAUAAAAGUAGCUGUACAACAAGGUAUUUAAGUUAUAUAUUGUAAUCAAUUAAGAACAAAACAUAAGGUAAAUGUAGGAAAGUUUGUUUCAGAUUUUUUCAAGAAAGAUGAAAAUUAAAAUUUUUUAUACCAUAUAAAUCUUAAUAAAUAGAAAUACUUUAUUUGUCAAUGAUACCUCUUUUACUGGUUAUAUGAUUUAAAAAAUUUGAGAAGUUAAAAAGCCACUUAGAUUGGGCACCGAGAAACAUUUUAUUAUAUAAUAUUUUAUUAUAUAUUACAUUUUGUUCCAGAUUAAAUGUUCUAGUGGCAAUGCUAAUUCAUAGUCUGCAAUUUUCAUGUAAUAUUGUUGUUUUCAUAUCACCCCUUUAUCAGAUUUUUACAUUGGAUAGUUGAUAUAGUUACAAACUGUAAAAUGUUAAAUUAUCAAUGAUAUAAUUCAUAUGUAGAGCUUCAAUGAUAUAUUCAUUUUGCUUAGAAAUUGUGAUGUUAAUGUUGGUUGUUUUGUUUUUGUUGUUAUGUCUUCAUUUUGUUUUUGUUUUUUUCAAAGAAAUUCUUAUACAUUAUAAAAUAUUGUUAUUUUUUUUUGCAUUUACAAACUAGUUUUGAUGUAUGUUGCCUCGAACAAGGCCCAUUUAGUGAUUGCACAGUACAUGUAUUUCUCUUUUGUCAGUUUGUUUUCAGCUCCACAAAGUAAAAUGUGGGUUUUAAGGUUUCAGGUCCACAAAGUAAAAUGUUGGUUUUAAGGUUUCAGCUCCACAAAGUAAAAUGUUGGUUUUAAGGUUUCUGUUCCACAAAGUAAAAUGUUGGUUUUAAAGUUUCAGCUCCACAAAGUAAAAUGUUGAUUUUAAGGUUUCAGCUCCACAAAGUAAAAUGUUGGUUUUAAGGUUUCAGCUCCACAAAGUAAAAUGUUGGUUUUAAAGUUUCAGUUCCACAAAGUAAAAUGUUGGUUUUAAGGUUUCAGCUCCACAAAGUAAAAUGUUGGUUUUAAGGUUUCAGCUCCACAAGUAAAAUGUUGGUUUUAAGGUUUCAGCUCCACAAAGUAAAAUGUUGGUUUUAAGGUUUCAGCUCCACAAAGUAAAAUGUUGGUUUUAAGGUUUCAGCUCCACAAAGUAAAAUGUGGGUUUUAAAGUUUCAGCUCCACAAAGUAAAAUGUUGGUUUUAAGGUUUUAGCUCCACAAAAGUAAAAUCUUGAUCUGACGUACGUAUAUGAAUGAGAAUAAUCAUGAUUGCUAGUUGUAAGCAAAGUUAUAUUUAGAACGCAGACAUGAGAAAACAACUGUUAAGGUCAUUUUACAAAUGACAUCAAAAAACAUUAACAGUGUCAUUGACAUCAAAAAUAAAAAAGUGAAUUACCCUUGAAAUUUUAAAAAUAAAUAUGAAUAGAUAACGAUGAGAAAAUUUCAGAAGUUUUAUAUUUAUAACAAGAAGAAAUAAAGAAGUAAAUAUCUUAAAGACUUCAAAAUAUCAAUUUAUAAUUAAUUUUAGUGAAUAGCGUUAAAAUGUUGUUUUCUUAUGCAUAUUUAUACUUUAAUUAAGUGAUCGCUAAUUGGUAUUGCGGGAGUAUCAAUGAAUGAUAGUGAAAUCUAUAUUAUUUUUUAUUUUUUUAUUUACAGAUGUUUAUUUUUUAUAACCAUGUAAAACCUUUAAAUUUUUGAAAGUUUAAUUUAUUUAAAGUUUAUAACAAAGUUUAUUAUUUUUUUUAAUGUAUGAUAAAACAAAGUGUCGGACACAAAGGUUUGUAAAUGAACAAAGUUUUUUUUUUACCAGUUUUGUUUUUCAUAGAUAUAUAUUAUCUUUUUUUUGUAAGAUCUCUGAAUGCGUUGUAUGUGUAUGUAAAUAUAUUAUUUUGAUGUUUUUUUAACAUUCCACUUAUUGCAUUUCCCAUUAUUUUUUAUUUCUAAAUGUAUUUAAGAUUUAAGCAACAAAAAAUCAUUCCAUUUUUGUGUUUCAUUAUCUAUGUAAUUCCAAAAGAACUUCUGAAUCACUUUCUAUAAUAUGGUGUAUAUAUGAAUAUAAGGCUAUAUAGAAUGAGGGAUAAAAAAAGUCUUGUGGUUUGAUUGUUAUGAUUAUACAUUUAGGGUAAUUUAGGGAACAAAAAAUAUUUUUAGAAAGUGCAGCAUCCUGCGCAGCUUUGCAUAGUGUGGUACUAAUAGACCUGGGUUCUAUGUUACAUACAUGUAGAAGAAUUACCUCCAAAAUUUGAGUAUCUUUCAGUGAUCUUAAAGUGUAUAAAGCUUUACUAUUAUAAGCUCCUGCAGGGAGGUUUCAAAAUUAAUGUUUGAAUCUUGAAAAGAAUAGUUUCUAAAUACAUAUAUAUAUGAAAGAAAUAUGUUUGUAUAUUUCCUUAAAAUACAUGAAAUCAUUUGCUAAAGGAUUAAAAUCCAGAUUAAAAUAGCUGCCUUAUAUUUUGUUACAGAAUAUUGUUUUUUGUUUACCUACAAUAUUAUGUGUGCUAAAUUUUAAGAGACACUAUGUUACAGUGCUUGCUAGAAUCCAUCAUAAGAUUCUGAAAGUAACAUAAUUUUAACAAAUAUUUCAUAAAAGAGAUAUAGCUUUGUAAUGUAUUUGUAA